GCCUGGGUGGCUCAGUCGGUUGAGCGUCCGACUUUACGAUCUCAUGGUUCGUGAGUUCGAAUCCCGCGUCAGGCU
rnacentral:tRNA from 1 species